UCUUAUGGAUAAGCAAAGAAAGUGGUUUCUUGAGAUGGAAUCUGCUCAUGGGGAAGAUACUAUGAC
rnacentral:pre_miRNA from 1 species